GAGUCCUGGCUGACGGUGCUCUCCGUGCCCAUUAUCGGACCGCCUUCCUGCCAGAGGAGCGUCCGGAGACGUGUGGGACCUCUGGUCGGGUUCGCUGUGUCGGGGAGUUUGGAUCGAAAAAGCAGAUGGACUCCAUUUAAGACCAGGAACCAUUUUGAGACUCUUCCUAAGUUAGGGACUGGAGGGCCACUUCUCAGGGUGUGCACCUUGAGACGUUCCAAGGCCCCUGCAGGCUUGAUUUCAGUUACGAGGUCCACAGCUGCACCAAAAGAAAACCAGAAGGCACCUGUAUGAGGAGCCUCCAUUGUCUAGGCUGCCCAACUGACCGGGCACUGCUUGCCUGACCCACCUGUUCCAACCUGAUGACACUGCCAUUUCAAGACUCACUGGAUGGAACCAAGACGAUGCCCCUCUAUCAGGAUUCUCUGGAUGCCCAGUGCUGUCUGUCUGUCUCAGCAGAUUUCCACUUGGCUGACAGACACCAUCCAGGAAUCAACUAUGGACUACAAACUGCUCCAAACGGCCCUGAGCUCUGGACUCGAUAAAUGCGGCUGUGAACCAGUCGCCGAUGUCGCUCCCUGUGUCUUCUGCUGGGUCAUCUAACCGGAUGCUCCUGAUGUACGUCCCAUUACCUGAAUCCCCUCCCUGCCUUUGACUAACAUUCCAGCCUUCCCAAGCCCUGGCGACGUCCUUGUCUCAGCAGGAAGUAGCUACAGAAGAGAGUGCGUCGCCCCUUGUCCCCGACAGGCUGGAAUGUUAGAUCGAAAGGGCAUUCCCUGGUGUAGGGGACAAAAUGGCUACCUAUAGUGCCUAUUGGCAUACCAGGAAAGAUUCCUGUUCAACUCAGAGAGACCCAGCCCUAUCAACAGGUAGAUUCAUCAGCUGAAGUAGUUGUUCAAAGUGACAGGG